AUUGAACGCUGGCGGCAGGCCUAACACAUGCAAGUCGAACGGUAGCACAGAGAGCUUGCUCUUGGGUGACGAGUGGCGGACGGGUGAGUAAUGUCUGGGAAACUGCCCGAUGGAGGGGGAUAACUACUGGAAACGGUAGCUAAUACCGCAUAACGUCUUCGGACCAAAGUGGGGGACCUUCGGGCCUCACACCAUCGGAUGUGCCCAGAUGGGAUUAGCUAGUAGGUGGGGUAAAGGCUCACCUAGGCGACGAUCCCUAGCUGGUCUGAGAGGAUGACCAGCCACACUGGAACUGGGACACGGUCCAGACUCCUACGGGAGGCAGCAGUGGGGAAUAUUGCACAAUGGGCGCAAGCCUGAUGCAGCCAUGCCGCGUGUAUGAAGAAGGCCUUCGGGUUGUAAAGUACUUUCAGCGGGAAGGAAGGCGUUAAGGUUAAUAACCUUGGCGAUUGACGUUACCCGCAGAAGAAGCACCGGCUAACUCCGUGCCAGCCGCCGCGGUAA
rnacentral:rRNA from 1 species